AGUGAACGCUGGCGGUAGGCCUAACACAUGCAAGUCGAACGGCAGCACAGGAGAGCUUGCUCUCUGGGUGGCGAGUGGCGGACGGGUGAGGAAUACAUCGGAAUCUGCCCAGUCGUGGGGGAUAACGUAGGGAAACUUACGCUAAUACCGCAUACGACCUUCGGGUGAAAGAGGGGGAUCGCAAGACCUCUCGCGAUUGGAUGAGCCGAUGUCGGAUUAGCUAGUUGGCGGGGUAAUGGCCCACCAAGGCGACGAUCCGUAGCUGGUCUGAGAGGAUGAUCAGCCACACUGGAACUGAGACACGGUCCAGACCCCUACGGGAGGCAGCAGUGGGGAAUAUUGGACAAUGGGCGCAAGCCUGAUCCAGCCAUACCGCGUGGGUGAAGAAGGCCUUCGGGUUGUAAAGCCCUUUUGUUGGGAAAGAAAUCUUUCAGGCUAAUACCCUGGGAGGAUGACGGUACCCAAAGAAUAAGCACCGGCUAACUUCGUG
rnacentral:rRNA from 1 species